AUUCGAUGUGACAGGUGCUAAACUUUAGCAGAGGUAUCGUUUGGGGCCUCAUUCUCUGACAUUGAACUGAUACUCACUAUCUUGGGUGGAAGUACGGAAAGACUAAUAGCGGUAGGCAUGAAUUCGGACAAUGAUCGCUUGCCAGAGACUUGCCCAAUGCACGUAGAGAAGCAUCCGUCUCAGAGACUGAAGCACGCUGUGAGCCUUCAUCUAAUAUGAGCUCUUGCUGCUGUGGUUCUUUCCUUGACUUUUUGGCUGUUGAAGAUUCAGGAUCACUACUAUGUUCGUCAUCACCAGAUGUGGCAUCAACAGGUGAGCUUUGACAUUUCCCAGAUGCAGAUUGCUGCCUCAAGUUAGCCUGUCUCUGCAUAAUUAAAGAAAUACCAAGAUGGAUCAUGCAAAUUCAGUUGCAGAGUAGGAUGAAAAGUUAAAAAUUUCAGAGGAACCAAUGCAUUGAACCAUAUGCAUCCAAGUUCAUAUGAACUAGUUAAAUGCCCUUAGCAGUAACUCUUACAGUAUGGCAACAAACAAUGUGAAUUGCAAAGCUAGGAAGCACAGGUACUAAAUGUGUUCACCGCAUUGCCUUAUCGCUCGGAAUCGUCCAAUGCUUGCCGUUCCACAUGUACAGCGGAAUUUCGUUGCCAUUUGGAAGCGCACGCCAUAGGGUUGGGCCAUCCGUUCCUCGCAUUUUCCCCGAGUAGAUCCUCACCACCUCGAAGGUCCGGACGCCGCUUCCUCGUGCGGCUCCCCAAGCGACGCCGAUCCGACUCCUCAUCCAAGCGCCGCCGCUGCUCCGAGCCUCCGUCUCCUCAUCUAGGCGCCACUGUCCCUCCGUCUCCCAUCCAAGCACUGCCGCCGCUCCUAGCCUCCGACUCUGUCAAUCUGCCUCCGUGUCCAUACAUCGUCGUGUCCCCUCCCCGUUGUUUGCAAUGCCACCUCCACCCACGGAUCUCUACCUCCGCUACCUCCUCCGCAUCCACCAUGGCGCCUCAACCUCAUCUUCCUCCUCGACACCCACUGCGAUGUGAGUUCUUCCUCCUUCCUCCUCUUAUCAGAUUGCCUAGGGUUUGCUCUUCUCAUGGCUGCAAUGUGAAUUCUUGUAGUUAACAUCUCGAUUCCCAAUUCUUCUGUCUGAGAUCCAAUCCUAGGAACAUCAACUAACCAGCACGAGCACCAGCACUGAUUCAAUUUUUUUAGUUAGAUAUAUAUGUUCAAGUCCUACAGAUAUGUACUCAUCAAAUUUUUAAGAUGAACACAAACAUUGCAGUAAGAAUGUAUAGUUAUAUGUUUCUUGCCUAUUUCAUUUUUCUUAUCGCAUUCUCCUUGUCAACCAUCCAUUUGUUUGUGCUGUCAUUUCAGUAGGUUAUCUGAAUUGGAAAAAAUAUUUACAUUGAUGCUGCACAAGUCAUCUUUGGUCUUUACACAAUCCUAGUAAUUAGUUAACUCUACUGCAAUAAAAAAUGCAUUUCUUGUUUCUUAACUAAACUGAAUUUUAGUUAACUUUGACAUCUCACGAGCUACUACUGAAUAAUUUUCUGCUUAACACUAUUGGUUACUAAUAACUUAAUUAAUUGCCUAAUCACGAUGAAUACUACCAAGGGUGGUUGUAAGUUUUUUUUUAGAUCAGGGUGGUUGUAAGUUGUAACACUCGGGCUGUGUGUAUCAGACACCUGUGCAGAGGUUGGAACUAUCUUUCAUUUUGUUUUAAGGAAAAAAAAAAGAUAGCGGUAGUACUGAUUAAAAAGCAGCAUUUGAAAGCAAUCUUACUAGAGUGUCUCUUGAAUCUUCAUAUACUGCGAUACACUGGCACUGAUGUUAUAUAUCUUGCUCAAUGCAUCUGCUUAUAAUAGUUUGCAUACGACGGAGAAGGUGACUGUAUAAA
rnacentral:lncRNA from 1 species